CGAAAGCCUGACGGAGCAAUACCGCGUGAGGGAGGAAGGCUUUUGGGUUGUAAACCUCUUUUUUCAAGGAAGAAGCAAGUGACGGUACUUGAAGAAUCAGCAUCGGCUAACUCCGUGCCAGCAGCCGCGGUAAUACGGAGGAGGCAAGCGUUAUCCGGAAUGAUUGGGCGUAAAGAGUCUGUAGGUGGCGAACUAAGUCUGCUGUUAAAGAUCACAGCUCAACUGUGGGUAGGCAGUGGAAACUGGUUAGCUAGAGGCUGGUAGGGGUAAAGGGAAUUCCCGGUGUAGCGGUGAAAUGCGUAGAUAUCGGGAAGAACACCGGUGGCGAAAGCGCUUUACUGGGCCAGACCUGACACUGAAGGACGAAAGCUAGGGGAGCG
rnacentral:rRNA from 1 species